UCCUGAAGCACUUUGGAAGCAUCCAAAAGCAGCACUUUUUCCUCAGGAAAGGAUCCAGCACUGGCCCUGGGGGGACACAGCUGUGAUAACCCCAUUCUGGGGCACACCUGAAGGGGCCUACACCACCUACACCUAUACCUAAGGGACCACACCAUCUGGGAAUAAGAAUUGCUGUCAACCUAAAUGCUUGUCUUCCCACUGAACUUCCAGAAGGUACAUUUAGUCAAGAGAUCACGAAGAUUUCAGCGAUACCAUACUCCCCUGCAGGAGGAGGGAUUAAGAGGGUUACAGAACAGAUUUACAAGCCCUGGAGAGAUGACAAGGUGAACGCAGCUUUGCAGUCAUUAAUCUAUACUGCCUUCACAUCUGCAGUCUCUCACACAAACUUGGGCAAGGACAGUUUGAGCCACUGUCAUACCAAUACCAGGAACUGCGAGCUUGUAUUGCUGUCAUAUUCUGCAGACUCAGCCACGUGUAUGAUAACCACAUUGAGGAAAAUUGCAGCUGGCCUUCCUCUCCAUAAUGUCCAGGAAGAGGGAGAGCAGGAGUUGGAUCCC